UUAUGGAGAGUUUGAUCCUGGCUCAGGACGAACGCUGGCGGCGUGCCUAAUACAUGCAAGUCGAGCGGACCGACGGGAGCUUGCUCCCUUAGGUCAGCGGCGGACGGGUGAGUAACACGUGGGUAACCUGCCUGUAAGACUGGGAUAACUCCGGGAAACCGGGGCUAAUACCGGAUGCUUGAUUGAACCGCAUGGUUCAAUCAUAAAAGGCGGCUUCGGCUGCCGUUUACAGAUGGACCCGCGGCGCAUUAGCUAGUUGGUGAGGUAACGGCUCACCAAGGCGACGAUGCGUAGCCGACCUGAGAGGGUGAUCGGCCACACUGGGACUGAGACACGGCCCAGACUCCUACGGGAGGCAGCAGUAGGGAAUCUUCCGCAAUGGACGAAAGUCUGACGGAGCAACGCCGCGUGAGUGAUGAAGGUUUUCGGAUCGUAAAGCUCUGUUGUUAGGGAAGAACAAGUACCGUUCGAAUAGGGCGGUACCUUGACGGUACCUAACCAGAAAGCCACGGCUAACUACGUGCCAGCAGCCGCGGUAAUACGUAGGUGGCAAGCGUUGUCCGGAAUUAUUGGGCGUAAAGCGCGCGCAGGCGGUUUCUUAAGUCUGAUGUGAAAGCCCCCGGCUCAACCGGGGAGGGUCAUUGGAAACUGGGGAACUUGAGUGCAGAAGAGGAGA
rnacentral:rRNA from 1 species